rnacentral:lncRNA from 1 species
UCAAAAUAAUCAAUUAAACAAAUAAAAUACUAACUAUAAUCAUUUAAUAAAAUCAAGAUAAAGAAAAUAAAAUGAAUUAAAUGGGUUAAAGUGAGUUAAGAGGAGGUGUUAAAAAAAUGGGCUUGAAAGCCCAAAACUAUACAAGUAAUUAAAACAAGAAAAAAAUACAUAAAAUAAAAUAAGGAGAAGGGGCGGCUGGAAUUUUGAACAGGAAAGAGAGGAUUUUAAAAUUUUCAAGAUAUCCCAAGCCACUAAUCAUGUCGUGAC